UUUACUGCCUCAAAAAUCAAUAAUUGAAGUCCUAAAGCCAAAGCUACGUAUCCCCCAUCCAUCUCAUCCACAUAAAAACCAACACUUCCCCUCUCUUUCUCUUCACCUUCACUUGAAGCCAAGCCUCGCCAAUGCUUAGACUCCCCACGCUUACACUACUCCUUGCCUUUCUCCUCCUGUUCUCUCUCGCUUUAAUCACCAAUGCCGCCACCGCCACCAUUACUCAACAAUUCAAAGAAGCUCCACAGUUCUAUAACUCCCCAGAUUGCCCUUCAUUUGAUCAAGAUGACCCUGAUUCGGAAUCAGACUGUGGUGAUGACGAUAGUAUCAUCUUUUGCUCCGAUCAAGCAGUCCACGUAGCAAUGACUCUAGAUACGGCAUACAUACGUGGCUCCAUGGCAGCAAUUCUCUCUGUUCUUCAACACUCUUCUUGUCCCCAAAAUAUUGCUUUUCAUUUCGUCGCUUCCGCCUCCGCUAACGCUUCUCUUCUACGAGCCACCAUCUCCUCCUCCUUCCCUUACCUCAAAUUCCGUGUUUAUACGUUCGAUGACUCGUUCGUUUCCAGACUCAUCUCCACCUCUAUCCGCUCUGCUCUAGAUUGCCCUCUCAAUUACGCUCGCAGCUACUUGGCCAAUAUCCUCCCUUUAGGCGUCCGCCGAGUCGUCUACCUCGACUCAGACCUCGUCCUCGUCGAUGACAUUGCCAAGCUCGCCGCUACUCCGCUGGGUGAAAAAUCUGUUCUUGCAGCUCCUGAGUACUGCAAUGCGAAUUUCACUAUUUAUUUCACACCAACUUUCUGGUCUAACCCUUCUCUAUCACUCACAUUUGCGGAUAGAAAAGCGUGUUACUUUAAUACUGGAGUUAUGGUCAUCGAUCUCUAUCGAUGGAGGGCUGGAGAUUACACUUCAAAGAUUGAGGAGUGGAUGGAGCUGCAAAAGAGAAUGAGAAUAUACGAACUGGGUUCUUUGCCGCCAUUUUUGCUGGUUUUUGCAGGGAAUAUAGUGCCUGUUGAUCACCGGUGGAACCAGCACGGGCUCGGCGGAGAUAAUUUUAGAGGUCUCUGUAGAGAUUUACAUCCGGGUCCGGUGAGUCUCUUGCAUUGGAGCGGUAAAGGGAAGCCCUGGGCUAGACUUGACGCCAACCGGCCAUGUCCUUUGGAUGCUUUAUGGGCUCCAUACGAUCUCUUGCAGACUCCAUUUGCGUUGGAUUCUUGAAGAGAAAGGAACCAUUGCUUCAGUACCAUGAGCUCAAUGAAUAUAAAAAGAUUAUGCUCCUCACCCAGAGAGAGAGACAGCGAGAGGGAGAGAAAGGGAGGGGGGAUGUGACGAGAUCAAGAAUUCAAGAUCAUAUACAGAUAUAUUGAAGCUUAGGCAAGUUGCUUUUGUAGAUGAUUAUACAGGUGUCUAUAUACAUCUAUCAAGAAUUAAUUCUGUUGAAAUUCUGAGUUUGAAAUUGUGAAGCAAGAAUAAGGAAGAACCCAGAAGAGGGGAUUCAUCAACUUUCAUUACAUCUCAGGCAUAUAUAUGCAUGGUUAAUUACAAUUGUAAUCAAAUUUCGCAUAACCAGAGAGCUGUUUUGGAUGUUCUCAUGAAUCAUUAUUUUGUUCUAUAAUUGACUUAUUUAUGCUUUUUCUUCCGGUAUUUAGCAUGUAAUCUAUUGAUAAAUUCGAUAUUUGAUACAAAUUUAGUGUUAUAUAUCUAU
rnacentral:misc_RNA from 1 species